GAUGAACGCUGGCGGCGUGCUUAACACAUGCAAGUCGAACGAAGCAUUUAAGACGGAUUCUUUCGGGAUGAAGACUUUUAUGACUGAGUGGCGGACGGGUGAGUAACGCGUGGGUAACCUGCCUCACACAGGGGGGAUAGCAGUUGGAAACGGCUGAUAAUACCGCAUAAGCGCACAGUACCGCAUGGUACAGUGCGAAAAACUCCGGUGGUGUGAGAUGGACCCGCGUCUGAUUAGGUAGUUGGUGGGGUAACGGCCUACCAAGCCGACGAUCAGUAGCCGACCUGAGAGGGUGACCGGCACAUUGGGACUGAGACACGGCCCAAAUCCUACGGGAGCAGCAGUGGGGAAUAUUGCACAAUGGGGGAAACCCUGACUGCAGCGACGCCGCGUGAGCGAUGAAGUAUUCGGUAUGUAAAGCUCUAUC
rnacentral:rRNA from 1 species